rnacentral:lncRNA from 1 species
CUGAAUUUGGAGUCUCCAAGGCAUCCAAAUUGAUGUGUCAGGUAGGCAAGUGGAUGUAAGAGGUUGGAGCUCAAAAGAUAUAUCCAGGAUAGAUAUAAAGAUCUGAGUUAACAAACCAAAACUAUGAGAUAAAUGAGGUCACAAAGGAGUGGUGAUAGAGACCUGGCUAUCAAUGCCCUCUAUCAUAAUAGGCAGGUGUGGGAACAAAGACUUUCUAAGGAGGAAAGAGAGUUGAAUUUUGAGAAGAUAUCAAAAGCCAUCCUUAGGAGCAGAGAAUUUCAAGAAAGCACAAGUUACAAAGGCAGCAACUGCCAAGGAGAUGCAGAGACCUGGCUCACGUACCAACAGAGAGGGCUCUGCAUGCCUGCUGCAGCACGCGUGCCCUAGGCUCGCCACCACUGGACUGGGCUCUCAAAGAAGUCAGUGAGAAAUAAAGACAUCAGAAUUGUGGCUGCAGGCGCAUCUGAAGAAGGCCAGGCCCCUGGGUAAGCAUAAUGGCCAGGCUUGCAUACUUCCCUAGGGAUAAGCAGAACUUAUUGUAAUUAGCUAAGCAGAGACUAUACUGUAAUUUGUAUCAGCCAGUCCAUUAAGUCCAGGUAUUCAUCAGACACCUGAGUGGCCAAAACAUCUGGACCCAUCCCUUCACUGAAAUGUUCCUGUUUUAGAAAUCAUAGAUAAGCAAAGGUUAAUGAUGAAGCAGCUAUACGUGUAAUCUUAUUGGUCGAUUAUAGUUUGACCUACGCUGUACCCACAUUUGCAGUAUAAAGUACCCCUGACCGAGGGCCUUAGUGGCAACCCACUCAGAACACUUUCCAUCUCUCAG